rnacentral:rRNA from 1 species
UACGUAGGGGGCAAGCGUUGUCCGGAAUCAUUGGGCGUAAAGAGCGUGUAGGCGGCUCGGUAAGUCCGCUGUGAAAGUCCAGGGCUCAACCCUGGAAUGCCGGUGGAAACUGUCGAGCUAGAGUCCGGAAGAGGCGAGUGGAAUUCCUGGUGUAGCGGUGAAAUGCGCAGAUAUCAGGAAGAACACCCGUGGCGAAAGCGGCUCUCUGGAACGGUACUGACGCUGAGACGCGAAGGCGUGGGGAGCGAACAGG